rnacentral:rRNA from 1 species
AUUGCAUAUCAAUAAGCGGAGGAAAAGAAACCAACAGGGAUUGCCUUAGUAGCGGCGAGUGAAGCGGCAAAAGCUCAAAUUUGAAAUCUGGCUCUUUCAGAGUCCGAGUUGUAAUUUGAAGAAGGUAUCUUUGGGUCUGGCUCUUGUCUAUGUUUCUUGGAACAGAACGUCGCAGAGGGUGAGAAUCCCGUGCGAUGAGAUGAUCCAGGCCUAUGUAAAGUUCCUUCGAAGAGUCGAGUUGUUUGGGAAUGCAGCUCUAAGUGGGUGGUAAAUUCCAUCUAAAGCUAAAUAUUGGCGAGAGACCGAUAGCGAACAAGUACAGUGAUGGAAAGAUGAAAAGAACUUUGAAAAGAGAGUGAAAAAGUACGUGAAAUUGUUGAAAGGGAAGGGCUUGAGAUCAGACUUGGUAUUUUGUAUGUUACUUCUUCGGGGGUGGCCUCUACAGUUUAUCGGGCCAGCAUCAGUUUGGGCGGUAGGAGAAUUGCGUUGGAAUGUGGCACGGCUUCGGUUGUGUGUUAUAGCCUUCGUCGAUACUGCCAGCCUAGACUGAGGACUGCGGUUUAUACCUAGGAUGUUGGCAUAAUGAUCUUAAGUCGCCCGUCUUGAAACACGGACCAAUC